rnacentral:rRNA from 1 species
GGAUUAGAUACCCUGGUAGUCCACGCCGUAAACGAUGUGCGCUAGCCGUCGGUCAGCAUGCUGUUCGGUGGCGUAAGCUAACGCGUUAAGCGCACCGCCUGGGGAGUACGGCCGCAAGGUUAAAACUCAAAGGAAUUGACGGGGACCCGCACAAGCGGUGGAGCAUGUUGUUUAAUUCGAAGCAACGCGAAGAACCUUACCCACUCUUGACAUCCUUCUUGGGGCUUUCAGAGAUGAUUGCUUUCGGUUCGGCCGGGGAAGUGACAGGUGCUGCAUGGCUGUCGUCAGCUCGUGCUG